AUUGAACGCUGGCGGCAGGCCUAACACAUGCAAGUCGAGCGGAUGAGAAGAGCUUGCUCUUCGAUUCAGCGGCGGACGGGUGAGUAAUGCCUAGGAAUCUGCCUGGUAGUGGGGGACAACGUUUCGAAAGGAACGCUAAUACCGCAUACGUCCUACGGGAGAAAGCAGGGGACCUUCGGGCCUUGCGCUAUCAGAUGAGCCUAGGUCGGAUUAGCUAGUUGGUGAGGUAAUGGCUAACCAAGGCGACGAUCCGUAACUGGUCUGAGAGGAUGAUCAGUCACACUGGAACUGAGACACGGUCCAGACUCCUACGGGAGGCAGCAGUGGGGAAUAUUGGACAAUGGGCGAGAGCCUGAUCCAGCCAUGCCGCGUGUGUGAAGAAGGUCUUCGGAUUGUAAAGCACUUUAAGUUGGGAGGAAGGGCAGUAAGUUAAUACCUUGCUGUUUUGACGUUACCGACAGAAUAAGCACCGGCUAACUCUGUGCCAGCCGCCGCCGUAACAC
rnacentral:rRNA from 1 species